UACGUAGGGGGCAAGCGUUGUCCGGAUUUAUUGGGCGUAAAGAGCGUGUAGGCGGCCAGGGAGGUCCGUUGUGAAAACUCGAGGCUCAACCUCGAGACGCCGAUGGAAACCCCCUGGCUAGAGUCCGGAAGAGGAGAAUGGAAUUCCCGGUGUAGCGGUGAAAUGCGUAGAGAUCGGGAGGAACACCAGUGGCGAAGGCGGCACCCUGGACCAGCACUGACACUGAGGCACGAAAGCGUGGGGAGCAAACAGG
rnacentral:rRNA from 1 species